ensembl:miRNA
AGAUCUGUUCACUUAGGAUCUCACUGAGUCCUGUGAGGUUGGCAUUGUUGUCUGGCAUUGUCUGAUGAUAUAUAACAGUGUCAACCUCACAGGACUCAGUGAGAAGAAACUGAUUAGGAUUAGGAAGGUGU